rnacentral:lncRNA from 1 species
CAUCAAAUGGAAUUCAAAGGAAUCAACAUCAAAUGGAACCGAAUGGAAUCGGAAAUGAAAGGAAUCAUCAUCUAAUGGAAUCGCAUGGAAUCAUCAUCAAAUGGAAUCGAAUGGAAUAAUCAUCGAAUGGAAUCUAAUGGAAUCAUUGAACAGAAUUGAAUGGAAUCGUCAUCGAAUGAAUUGAAUGCAAUCAUCGAAUGGUCUCGAAUGGCAUCAUCUUCAAAUGGAAAGGAAUGGAAUCAUCGCAUAGAAUCGAAUGGAAUUGUCAUUGAAUGGACUCGAAUGGAAUCAACAUCAAACGGAAUCAAACGGAAUUAUCGAAUAUCAUCGAAUGGAAAUGAAAGGAGUCAUCAUCUAUUGGAAUCGCAUGGAAUCAUCAUCAAAUGGAAUCGAAUGGAAUCAUCAUCGAAUGGAAUCGAAUGGAAACAGAAGAUUUCUCAGUAACUUCUUUGUGUUGUGUUUAAUUCAAGUCUCAGGGUUGAACCUUCCUUUAGACACAGCAGAUUUGAAACUCUGCUCUGUUUGUAAAGUCUGCAAGUGGAUAUUUGGACUGAAACAGGCUUUUUGUGGAAUUUGCAAGUGUAGAUUUCAAGAUAUUUGAGGCCAAUGGUAGAAAAGGAAAUAUCUUCCUAUAAAAACUAGACAGAAUCAUUCUCAGAAACUACUUUGUGAUGUGUAUGUUCAACUCGCAGAGUUUAACCUGUCUUUUCAUAGAGCAGUUUGGAAACACUCUGUUUGUAAAGUCUGCAAGCGGAUAUUUUGACCUCUUUGAGGCCUUCGUUGGAAAUGGGAUUUCUUCAUAUAAUGCUAGACAGAAGAAUUCUCAGUAACUGCUUUGCGUUUUGUGUAUUCAACUCACAGAGUUGAACCUUCCUUUAGACAGAGCAGAUUUGAAACACUCUUUUUGUGGAAUUUGCAAGUGGAGAUUUCAAGAGAUUUGAGACCAAUGGUAGAAAGGAAAUAUCUUCGUAUAAAAACUAGACAGAAUCAUUCUCAGAAACUACUUUGUGAUGUGUGUGUUCAACUCACAGAGUUUAACAUUUCUGUUCAUAGAGCAGUUUGGAAACACUCUGUUUGUUAAGUCUGCAAGUGGAUAUUUGGACCUCUUUGAGGCCUUCGUUGGAAAUGGGAUUUCUUCAUAUAAUGCUAGACAGAAGAAUUCUUAGUAACUUCUUUGGGUUGGCUGUCAUCCUUUUCAUAGAGCAGUUUGGAAAAUCUCUGUUUGUAAAGUCUGCAAGUGGAUAUUUGGACUUUGUGAUGUGUGUGUUCAACUCACAGAGUUUAACCUUUCUUUUCAUAGAGCAGUUUGGAAACCCUCUGUUUGUAAAGUCUGCAAGUGGAUAUUUCAGGCGCUUUGAGGCCAAUGGUAGAAAAGGAAAUAUCUUCGUAUAAAAACUAGACAGAAUCAUUCUCAGAAACUACUUUGUGAUGUGUGCAUUCAACUCACAGAGUUUAACCUUACUUUUCAUAGAGCAGUUUGGAAACACUCUUUUUGCAGAAUCUGCAAGUGGAUAUUUGGACCUCUUUGAGGCCUUCGUUGGAAACGGGAUUUCUUCACAUAAUGUUAGACAGAAGAAUUCUCAGUAACUUCUUUGUGUUGUGUGUAUUCAACUCACAGAGUUGAACCUUCCUUUAGACAGAGCAGAUUUGAGACACUCUUUGUGGAAUUUGCAAGUGGAGAUUGAAAGCGCUUUGAGGCCAAAGGAAGAAAAGGAAAUAUCUUCGUAUAAAAACUAGACAGAAUCAUUCUCAGAAACUACUUUGUGAUGUGUGCGUUCAACUCACAGAGUUUAAGCUUUCUUUUCAUAGAGCAGUUUGGAAACACUCUGUUUGUAAAGUCUUCAUUUAGAUAGAGCAGAUUUGAAACACUCUCUUUGUGAUGUGUGCAUUCAUCUCACAUAGUUGAACAUUUGUUUUCACUACGUACUUUGGAAAAAGCCU